rnacentral:lncRNA from 1 species
ACUCAUAAACAAAAUCCUAUACUACACAACAAACUCACAAACAAAGCUCUAUUUUGCAAAAAAAAAAAUAAAAAUGAAAACCUUCACAUAAAUUCCAGAAUAUCUCCCCAUCCACGCUUCACUCUUAUACUUUAAAGAUCGUACAUAACACAUGACAAAGUGGUAAUUAUUUUUCGCUAAAAACUCUUUGUUUGUUAGUUAAGUUUAGAUUCAAUUUCUUUUAUAUUGGAGUAAUGUCUUUUUUUCCCUUUAUAGUUGCUGCCACAAAGUGUAACCCAAUACUUCCUCCCCACCCACCCUGACGGAUAUACACAUCCGUCGUUUUGGUGAUCAUGUACAUUUAGCUCAAGUCGAUUCCUGCGGCAUUAGGAACUGGCCGAGAAUAUAUAACGGAUGGAGAGAUUUCAUUCGUACUUAAUAUUUUCGAAAAGGUGACGUUUUAGACAUAUUAAUUAUUCACAAUAGUCAAGACUGAUUCACAGUCGUAAAGACUCUGUACAGAUUGUUAUUUCAAAUGAUGAUCCCUACAUCCGUUUUUUUAUAGAUAUGGGAGUAGUUUUGUAAGUUUAAUGCUUGGAUAAUUGAUUUGAAUGUCUUCUUUUUAUCUAGUUCACAUCUUUAUUUUGUUUAUCUUUACUUUUCAGUGCAUUCUAUCUAUUUUUUCUUUUUGUGCACAAAAUUAAUAGGAAAAUAACAAAGUAACUUGAAUGAUACAGUAAUAUAGAUGAGUGAUGAGUGUAAAACAGGUAAGAUUGAUUCUAACAAUUAAGGGUGUAAAUAGUUCAAGUUGGUUCGAUUUUUAUUUAAAAAAAUAAUCAAACCAAUCAUGUCG